rnacentral:lncRNA from 1 species
CCCAGGUGGCCCUUCAUUCUCUCUGCCCACCUGCAAGAGGAGGAAUGUCUAGGGUUCCUUCCGCUUCCCUGGUUCUGCACCUGAGUUGCUGUUGGCCCCUGAACCUCCUGUAAUACCUCCUACCCACCCAGCCACUGAAUCCCAGAGUGGGAGGGGCCUUAGGGGGAACCGGAGCCUGAUUCCACCCAAGAAGGCUGGAAAACUAGCAGGAAGCUGCUGCCUCUUGUUGGGCCAUCAUGGAACACACCCACC